CCUACCCCUAUGGGUGAUGGUGCCCCGCAUCGCGUGCGGGGUGAAAAGGGAAUGCGGUGCGGGGCCCUGCCCCAAGUCCGCGACUGCCCCCGCAACUGUAGGCGGCGUGCCCCCCCCGAAAUGCCACUGGGCCGAAAGGUCCGGGAAGGCCGGGGGCGCAAAACUCCGCAAGUCAGGAGACCUGCCAUCGUCCAUUCACCCAA
rnacentral:ncRNA from 2 species